rnacentral:rRNA from 1 species
AUUGAACGCUGGCGGCAGGCUUAACACAUGCAAGUCGAGCGGAGAUGAGGUGCUUGCACCUUAUCUUAGCGGCGGACGGGUGAGUAAUGCUUAGGAAUCUGCCUAUUAGUGGGGGACAACAUUCCGAAAGGAAUGCUAAUACCGCAUACGUCCUACGGAAGAAAGCAGGGGAUCUUCGGCCCUUGCGCUAAUAGAUGAGCCUAAGUCGGAUUAGCUAGUUGGUGGGGUAAAGGCCUACCAAGGCGACGAUCUGUAGCGGGUCUGAGAGGAUGAUCCGCCACACUGGGACUGAGACACGGCCCAGACUCCUACGGGAGGCAGCAGUGGGGAAUAUUGGACAAUGGGGGGAACCCUGAUCCAGCCAUGCCGCGUGUGUGAAGAAGGCCUUAUGGUUGUAAAGCACUUUAAGCGAGGAGGAGGCUACUGAGACUAAUACUCUUGGAUAGUGGACGUUACUCGCGGAAUAAGCACCGGCUAACUCUGUGCCAGCCGCCGCCGUAAUAC